rnacentral:misc_RNA from 1 species
ACAAAUUCAAGCUCAGCUUGGUGAUGGGUGUCUGUCCCGCCUUUGCGCGCGGACUCGCCUCAAAUGCAGUUGGCAGCUUGUUCCUCGGCUCUAAACGCAGCAGAAUGCGUCGAGCGUCGAGCGGACGGGCUCUCCAGUAAGCAAACCCCCACA